rnacentral:rRNA from 1 species
UGGGGAAUCUUGGACAAUGGGCGGAAGCCUGAUCCAGCCAUGCCGCGUGAGUGAAGAAGGCCCUAGGGUCGUAAAGCUCUUUCGCCUGUGACGAUGAUGACGGUAGCGACAGAAGAAGCCCCGGCUAACUCCGUGCCAGCAGCCGCGGUAAUACGGAGGGGGCAAGCGUUGUUCGGAUUUACUGGGCGUAAAGGGCGCGUAGGCGGACGGUCAAGUCAGAGGUGAAAGGCCCGGGCUCAACCUGGGACGUGCCUUUGAAACUGAUUGUCUUGAGUGCGGAAGAGGGUGACGGAAUUCCCAGUGUAGAGGUGAAAUUCGUAGAUAUUGGGAAGAACACCGGUGGCGAAGGCGGUCACCUGGUCCGCAACUGACGCUGAGGCGCGAAAGCGUGGGGAGCAAACAGGAUUAGAUACCCCCGUAGUCC